rnacentral:rRNA from 1 species
CCUACGGGUGGCAGCAGUGGGGAAUAUUGGGCAAUGGGCGCAAGCCUGACCCAGCAACGCCGCGUGAAGGAAGACGGCUUUCGGGUUGUAAACUUCUUUUUAGGGGGAAGUGGAGUGGACGGUACCCAUUGAAUAACCCACGGCUAACUACGGGCCAGCAGCCGCGUCAAUACGUAGGUGGCAAGCGUUGUCCGGAUUUACUGGGUGUAAAGGGCGUGCAGCCGGGCCGGCAAGUCAGAUGUGAAAUCAGCGGGCUUAACCCGAAAACUGCAGUUGACACUAUAGGUCUUGAGUGCCGUAGAGGUAAGCGGAAUUCGUGGUGUAGCGGUGAAAUGCGUAGAUAUAAGGAAGAACACCAGUGGCGAAGGCGGAUUACUGGACGGUAACUGACGGUGAGGCGCGAAAGCGUGGGUAGCAAACAGGAUUAGAUACCCUUGUAGUC